GUGCCAGCAGCCGCGGUAAUACAGAGGGUGCGAGCGUUGUCCGGAAUCACUGGGCGUAAAGGGCGCGUAGGCGGCUUCUCACGCGUGCGGUGAAAGCCCGGGGCUCAACCCCGGGUCGGCCGUGCGGACGGGGAGGCUGGAGUCUGGUAGAGGCCGAUGGAAUUCCGGGUGUAGCGGUGGAAUGCGUAGAGAUCCGGAAGAACACCAGUGGCGAAGGCGGUCGGCUGGGCCAGCAUCUUCGGAUGGUCGGGGCAACCCGAUACUGACGCUGAGGCGCGACAGCGUGGGGAGCAAACAGGAUUAGAUACCCUGGUAGUCC
rnacentral:rRNA from 1 species